GUGAUAAAACCCCACACCUGAGGAUUGUGCAGGUGGUUAAGUGGGGACAGUAUCAGUGUUGUUAGAGUGGGACGGGCCCGGCGAUCCAACAAUUCCAACAUGGUAUCAGAGCCCACGGUUGCGGGCCCGUGCAAGCCAACGAGCUUGUGUGCAAGCCAAUGAGCUUGUCACCACCCAGAAGGAAACAAGUCUAAACUCUUAAUAUAGAAACGACCGCUGAGUUCCAAUUGAAAACAAGUGGGCCCAACGUGAGCCGACCUCUGAGUUUCAAUUACUGAUGUGGAUCUCCACGUGUGAACCACUAAAUGAGGUUACACGUGAGGGGGAGUGUUAAACUGUCCCACAUCGGUGGGGUGAAGAAAACUAAAGAAGUUUAAAUAGUAUUACCCCACUCUAACUAAUACCGAGGCCUUUUGUGAUAAAACCCCACACCUGAGGAUUGUGCAGGUGGUUAGGUUAAGUGGGGACAGUAUCGGUGUGUUGUUAGAGUGGGACGGGCCCGGCGAUCCAACAAUUCCAACAUGGUAUCAGAGUCCACGGUUGCGGGCCCGUGCAAGCCAACGAGCUUGUGUGCAAGCCAAUGAGCUUGUCACCACCCGGAAGGAAACAAGUCUAAACUCUUAAUAUAGAAACGACCGCUGAGUUCCAAUUGAAAACAAGUGGGCCCAACGUGAGCCGACCUCUGAGUUUCAAUUACUGAUGUGGAUCUCCACGUGUGAACCACUAAAUGAGGUUACACGUGAGGGGGAGUGUUAAACUGUCCCACAUCAGUGGGGUGAAGAAAACUAAAGAAGUUUAAAUAGUAUUACCCCACUCUAACUAAUACCGAGGCCUUUUGUGAUAAAACCCCACACCUGAGGAUUGUGCAGGUGGUUAAGUGGGGACAGUAUCGGUGUUGUUAGAGUGGGACGGGCCCGGCGAUCCAACAAUUCCAACAGUU
rnacentral:lncRNA from 1 species